rnacentral:lncRNA from 1 species
UUAAUUUAGAAGCAAUACUGCAUUUUAUAUCUGACAGAAAUAAAGAUUCUUGAAUGAGUGGAGUGUGGAAAAGAAGGCAGAGAUGCUAUCAGUUGUACUCUGUGGACUAAUGAAGAAAAUGAAGAAGAAAACCCCAUGAUUCACAAAGAGGUAUAGAGGUUGCUGGAUGAUUUAAGGCCAGAUUAACAAAUCACUACAAUGCAAUUUAAGGCUUUAGAUAAUGGGAGGUCAAACAUGUAUUACCAGCUGACUUAAAUUUGAUUUGACUGAAAGAUAAAACUCAGCUACAUGAACCAUAUUAACUGAAAGCCUCUGCUUUACAUUUCUCACUGAUGGCACCCUGGGGAGGUAACUUUCUUGGCAUUUCACAUCCAAUUUAAGCACAUCAUUGAUGAAAAGAUGGCUAAAUUGGUGCGUCAUUUUGUAAUAAAAUAUCUCACAAAUUGUUUAUCUGAUCAAUGGAGAAUGCAGUCUCAAGCUGUUCGGGGCUAAUGUGCUCACUGCACUCAAAUACCUGCUACAGGGAAGGACACAGUAAGAGAAAAGUCACAAGACUGAGAUGGGAGAAUGAGAAAAUAAACAGUAAUACAAGGGAUGUCAGUAGACGGGGCAAAAAGCAUCAUAUAUUGCCAAUUGGUAGCAACUAAGGUAUUUAAAAAUAAAUUGCCUCAAAAGAUCCCAGGUGGAUCAUCUAGAGUCCCUUUAUUGCUAGUGAGCAUACCUGGGCUGCCAACCACUUGUCCUGACUGAAACAUCUAUCUUUGGAAAAGGUGAAUUAUGUCUCAGAAGUACCUUUUUGUCCCCUGACUACAAAAAUAAUAAUAAUAGAAAAGAGCACUUAAGAUGUUGAUGACUACUUUGUAACCCUGAAAAACUAGUUGAAAUAAAUUCUACCCUUACUUCCUUCA